UCCAUAAUAUACAUUAGCCUCUCAUUUAUCAUUUUUUCCAUUAAUGUACAACUAUGAGAAGUCAGGGCAAUAGGCCUAUAGCUUGCUGGUUUACUAACGUCCUUCCCAGGUUUCCUUAUCGGAACAAUAGUUGCCUCCUUCCAGCUCUUUGGUAAUUUACCUUUCUCCCACACUUUGUUAUACAGCAUCAACAACUUUUCUUUCUCCUUUUCACUUAACCGUUUCAACAUGCUAUAACAAAUGUCAUCUUUUCUGCCCUAUUUAGUUCUCCCAUAUUAAAGACAUGUUAUUAGAGCUGUGCACCUCGGCAAAUGUAUUUACAACAUUUCAGCUUUUUCUUUAUUCGUCACUGACAUUUCAUUUUUUCCUGCCACUUUAAUCCUGCCAUAUCUAAAUGGUGUAUUGCUGCUUUAACAAUAAUCUGAAUUCUUUCCGUUUUAGACUUAACUUCAGCCGUAGCAUUCAUCAGCCCUGCUAUGAAUGUCACUAUUUUCUUCUUCUCUUCCCAUUUCUCCUUCUUCUCGUACUGGCCUUUUUUCAACUUCUUGGCUCUGCUUCUUCUUUUCCUUUUCCACUCUUUUAACAGCUUCAUUAUAUGAGAUGUUUACCUGUGUUUUUAUCUGUUGUACUUUAACUUCUUUCUUCAUCACUUCACACCCCCAAAAUGCCACACUAUGAUCCCCUCCACAGUUACAACACUUUGGUCUUACGUCUCCACACGUUCCAUAUUCAUGAUCCCCAGUGCAUCUAGCACACCUUCUCUUUCCUUUACAGACAUUAGCCAUGUGCCCAGAUUCUUGACAGUUAUAGCAUCUCAAUGGUUUAGGCACAUUCUCCCUUAUGCUGUAUCUCAUAAAUCCAUAGUAUACCUCUUUUGGAACCUCCUUUGUUUCAAACUCAAUCAACACAGACUCGGUUUCCACUCGACCUCAUUUGAACUUGUCAGCCUCCCGUUUGCUUUCAGUUUGAAGUAGUUUGAGGUAUUUGUACAAACUAAACUAAGCGGUCACCAGACGUGACUCAAACUGUGCUUGUAAUGGUUUCUGUUCACUUAAUGGGUCUCAGCAACAGAACCAGAAUAAGUCCAUGUUUCAUUGGGUGGAUUCAGAUCUGCAGUAUUAUUAUUGGAUUAUUUUCUUCUAUGUUUCCCUUGUGAUUUAGAUUUAAAAGUGGCCAAAAGAGGGCGUCGCCCGGGACGUUUCAUUGAUCACGCUCCCUUGUGUCCUCUGGCUUUUUGAAAGAGGAAUCUGGUGCAUAAAAGAUGAAAAGCAGAGAUUCCGAGCAGUCGCACAGAGCCACACCGCUGAGGAACGACUAUUUGAUCAAUGGAACAUCAAUAUGUUCAGAUGGAACAUUUUCUGACCAAACUGGAAAAAGAAAAACAAGCUGAAGGACAAAUGAAUGCAGGCGUGUGCGUGGUGUGUCGUUUGUGACGUAUCCUCAGGCUUCCUUUGACACUUUGAACCAAUCCAUUUCACACAUACACCACAACGAGGCCUUUUCUCAGGGAAACACUGUCAAUGCAUAAAACUACUUUGUCAUGCUGUUGCACCUUGAAUUUAGACAGAAAAUCAUGCUUUUGUCAGUAUUUGCAGUGGAGCAUCCUGGUAUUUUUUGUGGUAAUUACACACAUGAAAUGUCAAGUGUACCUCACGUUAAUACUUCUAGAAGAUCCCACCUACUGACUUUUAAGAGCUCUUGCCUCCAGGCUCUGGCUCCUUGUGUUUGAAAUGUCCAACUAAUGUUCAUUUAGUGUUUUUCUGUCAUCAGGGUUCAACCCGUAAUAAUGGAAGACCUGCAAAGCACAAUGUCAAUCAUUCCAUCACCAUGUGGUCUGCUCAUCCUACCUCCAGGCCUUACUGAAGGUUGAGAUCUUCUCCAACAAGAGGCCUGCUGGGAAGGAUUGAACAGCUCUGCACUGCUGUUGCCCUCUAGGGGUCAAACUGAUUCUUCCUGUGGCCAAAACAAAUAUUCAGUUUACAAUCAUGUGACACGAGAAAAGACCAGAUUAUUCAAUACUUUGUUUGUUGUUGAAAUAAAUAAAAUCUUCCAAUUUCAUAAACUGAGAAGGUUUUAUGUCAAAGAUCAGCAUACGAUCUAGUUUCUGAUAACUUGUCUAUUGAUUGUCCACAAGCAAAAGACUGCAGAAGGACGGAUGGCGUUAUAAAAUAUAUACAUAGAAUAUCCAAGUGUAGCUGAUUCAAUCCUCUUCUGCAAAUACACAAUUAGAAAUGAUAUCUAAACUUUUUUACAUUUGCCCCAUUUUAAAAAAGCAGAGUCAAUUGUGGUACAGACAAGGUCCCACAAAGAUCUAAACAUCUCAUAAACAUCUCAUGUUGAUCUCUGAGAGGAUCCUCAGUGACUUUAUUGUGGAGGUUUAAAAGCAGGAAGGACGUCUGUGUGUGUUUCCUGUUCUUUAACCACUUCUUUUAAGGAUGUUUCUCAAACAAUAAGAAAGUACUUUAUAUUACUCUGAAUAAUAUUAAUACAUCACUAUUGUGAGAAUGAGUGGACACUUGAUACGGAUCAAUGUGAAAAAAGAGAAAGACCACCAGUUAGUAAAUUACUGAAGAUAGUUUAGACUCUGCAGAAAGCGGACCACUGUAGGUCAGCCCCUCCCUGUGGGUUAUGAGGGGGGGGGGGACUGAGUAGAACGUUUACAGUUGGGUAAAGUUGGCAAGAUCUUCACAGACAUUCUCAGACUUCCAGGUUCAAAAGGUCAUCAGCGAGACGUAGUUAAAACACUAAAGACGCCUCAGUGUGACGUCAACAAUCCAAUCGGCCCCAAUGUUUUACAACGGGGAGCAAAAAUCACCUUUCCCUCCCCAUGGAAGAAGGACCAGUGUUCCACCCUGUGCUCUCACUCACACUGAGUAGUGUUUGUACUGUUCUCUCUAAAAAAAGGGUUCACUUUGACUCUCUUUGAGGUGUUUAUGGUUUAUGGUUUAGGUAAAUGGUAAAGAUUCCUCCCUUUCUCCUCUUCACCUUUUCUGCCACAAUUUGUGGGUUUUUGUCCCCAAACCAUAUAUUUGACCUGGUUGCUGGUAGUAAUGUGCAUUUCUGUGUCCUUUCUUCAGUGCCAGCUGGUCUGCCCUCUCAUUGCCACGUACACCUACAUGCGAGUUGAAGCUGACCUCCCUGAUGAUUCCUCCUUGGAGCUGACUGGAGGACAUGGUGCAGUAGACCUUGCUGGCUAUUUGAAGGACACGACCUCAUACGCAUCAGGGCUGAAGAUGAAUCGGAGCAGAUCGACACAUGUUCCUGCUGUGUUUCUUCCACCCGUCGCAGUGCAAUCCUUACUGCCAACAUCUCCACUGUGUGGAGCCCCAGAUCAUUAGAUGUUCUCCUGUUGAUAGCCAUCCCUUGACUUGGUAAAGACGCCCCACACCCUGCCCCCCCCUUUUUAAGUAGCCGAUGGUGGAAAGAUUCUUCCCCCUUGUAGGACAUCUGCUGGAGGAGCUUCAGUAGCAGAGGAGAGGAGAGAGGGGUCCAGCCGCAGCUCCUGAACUUCUUACUUCACUUUGCAGAAGGGGGGCUACACACAGGCUUUUAUUUUGGUGGGGGGUCAAAUAGGUGAGUGGGAAAAGUUUUUUUUAAUUAUAUUUAUUUAUCUAAUAAUGUUAAUUACAAGAACAAAUAACAAAUACUGUAUAUAACAGAUACUAUUAUAAUUUUGUUCUAUAGUUUUAUGCUUUCAAGUGUGUCUUGUAGUAAUUGGACCUUACUUCUUUGUGGGCACUUUUGCAGCUGAAUUGCAAUGCAAAUGGAAAGUUAUCUGCAAUGUUUAAUGUCAGCACAUGUUGUGGAAUGACUUUGGCAUCUGUCCUGCCUCUUUGGGAGGAUCGGUGUUCUUUCCUCCUGGAAGUAGCUGCUGCUCGAGGCCUGUUAACCGCAGCCAGACUGUGGCCAUUGGGAGCACGAGGGUCCAUAGAGCAAGAGAAAACACCACCAAUAACAUUUCAGAGAUCUGCCAUGUGACAUAACCCCCCCCCCCCCUUUUUGUUCCUUCAGUAUAUUUUAAAAAGCAGGUGGACAAACAAGCGAAUCCAUGUUUGAAAACAGUGUAAUGUGAAUUUUUCAAUUGAACACACACACACACACACACACACACACACACACACACACACACACACACACACACACCGUACGCUGUUGAAGAUGAGUACUCGUGGAGAAAUCAGGCGCGGCCCCCCCCCCGGGGCUCCUUGAGUUGAUAACGUCAGGUUGGUGAUGCUCCAUCUCAGUUCUUGAUCAUUUGGUGGGCUCCUUGUUUGUCAUCUGGCUGCUGUGCAUUCGGUGUGUCCCGAGAUGUACCCCCCCGCCCCCCCUCAAAGGGUAUUUUAUAAUGAUAUUCUUACCCUACCUUACAGCAAGCAUGAACCCAGAUGGCGAAGCUCUGUGCUGACGCCUCACUGUCGAACGCAUGCUCACUCACCUCAACGAGCUCUGCUAAUGAGUGCAGGUAGACAUCGUGGUCAUUAGCGCAACAUUAGCAUCAUCCAUUAUGUCCUCUUUGGUUGUUAAAACACUCCUUUCCCACACAAUACAACACAUUUUCUGAUUUAUUUUCUAAAGAAUGAGGGGAAUUAACACUCCCAUGAAGAACUAACCAUAGGAUACUCUUUUAAUUGAUGGUGUGUAACUUGCUUAAUACAACGUGAACGUGGUACUUUUAUCUCCAGCUCUAACUUCUAUGCAUGUAAACAGUCUAUAGUAUCACACCUUUACUAACCAACUCUACUGGGUAGCCUAGAAGCUGUAAAAUGGAAUAUCAUUUGAUCAUAUGUUUGUCAUCUGUGUGUGUGUGUGUGUGUGUGUGUGUGUGUGUGUGUGUGUGUGUGUGUGUGUGUGUGUGUGUGGUCCCAACUGUAACUACAUGGAAACUACCAUCCAGUUGGUCAGAGUUGUUGAUCCAAACAACUUUCUCAUGUACAUGACGCAUGAUGCUGGGAUCACGUUAGCUCAAUGUUAAAGGCGUUGGGGCCUUGUCACUCUGUAUAUCGUUUCCUGAAUGUAUUUAUUAGUAGUAGUAUUAUUAUUAUGGGCCUUUUUGAGUAAGCCCAGAGCCAUUUGGUUCUCUGGUGCCUUCUCACGCAUUAUGCUGCCAAUGAAAAAGUACACAAGGGUCUUUUUAAAAGGUUUGCAAUGGAUGUGUGCCACUCACUUGUGUCGAAAGUUCAAAACCAAAUAAACGCUUUUUGGUCUUUGAAAUAUGUUUAUAUACAAUGCGUAUAUAACAUAUGGUGUUCAGUUCUGUCCAGAGUUACGUCAUCAACUACACGGCAACCUGGAUUCCAUUGUAUAAUGGUGCUGGUGUGCGUUUCAGUAAUGACGGUCGUUGCUGUUGUGUGUGUGUGUGUUUUGUUGUAAUGACUGCACUCAGCAUGCGUUGGAUGCUCCACUCACUUUUUGCACCUCGGGGGACUCCGGCGUGGAGUCGCCAGUGUGCCAGAGCUUGAGUUGCGCCCCGUCUCGGUCGAGCAACUCAAACAAACGCCAUUUUGCUCCGAAAUGGCUUCUCACACCUUUCAAUGUUGUCACGCGUCGUUUACUCGUCCCCCCCCUCACAAAAACGGACGUCAGUGCUGUGUGUCUUCUGUCCCCCAACAACGAGAAAAAUCCACUUCAGUCACAACGUGUUUGUCGUUGGGAUCAGUGUGAAUGCGCCUUUUAAUGGAGUCACAAAUAUCACCACAUUAACACACGUGCGCCCAUACCUGUCGCCAUUCAACAGCGUGUCACCUCUUGUUUGCAGUGGAACCCCCUCAGACAUGAAAUUUAAAAUCCUAAAUGAGAACUCGGUGGAAACGUCAUGGACGAGACCCUCGUCGCGGACAGACGGCUUCAGACUACAAGUGGUGUCAGACGCAGAUGAACCAGUCAGAGACUAAAAUCACUGACCUGACCCCUGACUUGGACCACUCGGUGUCCAUAAACUCCUAUUACGGGUCCGAGGAGAGCAUUCCCAUCACUGGACAACUGACCAUCCAGUCCAGUAACACCAGUGGACACGUCAAGAAGCCAAAGUCAGACGCUAUCAACUAAAUGAGUCAGACAAACAUUUGACCUUCUGCUUUGGUAGUCAGUGGGGGGGGCACACGUUGGCUCCUAUAAUUAAAACCAGUCUGUCAUCAAGGAAAGGUGUGUGUGUGUGUGUGUGUGUGUGUGUGUGUGUGUGUGUGUGUGUGUGUGUGUGUGUGUGUGUGUGUGUGUGUGUGUGUGUGUGUGUGUGUGUGUGUGUGUGUGUUCUGGUAAAAAGGUUGAACAAGAGGAACCUUUGAAGGAGACACGUGUCUGGAUUGAGACGCGGCCAAACCUUUGGAGUCGUGAAGGAGACGAAUGUUCAGAAUGGAACGCAGCCGAACAAAAGCAUUUGAAGGUUUAAUGAUGUUGGACUGAAGGGGGGGGGGGGGGGGGUCAGCAGCUGCUAGAUGAUUAAGAUGAAGCUGUUUGUCUGUCGUGUUUCUCAUCAAUCAAUCAAUGGACUUGUUCUCUUUCAUCAUGUUGUUGAUCCGAUCUGCUCUCAUCCAGACGCUCCGGUGUACAAACCCACUGACUUCUAACGCCAUCCGCUGUGUAUUAUAGGAAAUAAAAAGCAUUUUCACUAAUGAAAAACUCUAAAACUAGGAUUCUCUCCAUAAUGUUUCCAA